rnacentral:rRNA from 1 species
GAUGAACGCUGGCGGCGUGCCUAAUACAUGCAAGUCGAGCGAAUGGAUUAAGAGCUUGCUCUUAUGAAGUUAGCGGCGGACGGGUGAGUAACACGUGGGUAACCUGCCCAUAAGACUGGGAUAACUCCGGGAAACCGGGGCUAAUACCGGAUAACAUUUUGAACCGCAUGGUUCGAAAUUGAAAGGCGGCUUCGGCUGUCACUUAUGGAUGGACCCGCGUCGCAUUAGCUAGUUGGUGAGGUAACGGCUCACCAAGGCAACGAUGCGUAGCCGACCUGAGAGGGUGAUCGGCCAAACUGGAACGUAGGCACGGCCCAGACUCCUACGGGAGGCAGCAGUAGGGAAUCUUCCGCAAUGGACGAAAGUCUGACGGAGCAACGCCGCGUGAGUGAUGAAGGCUUUCGGGUCGUAAAACUCUGUUGUUAGGGAAGAACAAGUGCUAGUUGAAUAAGCUGGCACCUUGACGGUACCUAACCAGAAAGCCACGGCUAACUACGUGCCAGCCGCCGCCGUAA